rnacentral:rRNA from 1 species
UACGUAGGGGGCAAGCGUUUGUCCGGAUUUAUUGGGCGUAAAAGAGCGUGUAGGCGGCCUUACAGGUCAGCUGUGAAAACUCGAGGCUCAACCUCGAGACGUCGGUUGAAACCGUAUGGCUAGAGUCCGGAAGAGGAGAGUGGAAUUCCCGGUGUAGCGGUGAAAUGCGCAGAUAUCGGGAGGAACACCAAUGGCGAAGGCAGCUCGCUGGGACGUGACUGACGCUGAGAGGCGAAAACGUGGGGAAGCAAACAGGG